rnacentral:lncRNA from 1 species
AUGUUUUUUUCAGUGUCUGUUAUCCGGCAGCUGAUUUCAGAGAUUACAAUCAUUGCAAGGAGAAGACCAAUCUGUCUCAAAAGCUGAAGGCUGGAUGUCCACACCACAGUGAAACUGCUUGCAGCAGAGAACUAAUCCACACUACUCUUGAUAUCUCCUGGAGAUAAUUGGAUAGCAGAAAGAAGGUGCACAGGGAAAUACUAUGUCCCAGCUCUACGUCGCCAAAGGUAUUUCUAUCCUCCCUACUUCUUUCCUUCUCUUCCCUCCUUUUCCUUGCACCCACUGCUGAAAGAAGUACCCACUGUUUAUGGAACAGCAUCCUGAUUUUCU